rnacentral:rRNA from 1 species
GUGGGUAGUUUGACUGGGGCGGUCUCCUCCUAAAGAGUAACGGAGGAGCACGAAGGUUGGCUAAUCCUGGUCGGACAUCAGGAGGUUAGUGCAAUGGCAUAAGCCAGCUUGACUGCGAGCGUGACGGCGCGAGCAGGUGCGAAAGCAGGUCAUAGUGAUCCGGUGGUUCUGAAUGGAAGGGCCAUCGCUCAACGGAUAAAAGGUACUCCGGGGAUAACAGGCUGAUACCGCCCAAGAGUUCAUAUCGACGGCGGUGUUUGGCACCUCGAUGUCGGCUCAUCACAUCCUGGGGCUGAAGUAGGUCCCAAGGGUAUGGCUGUUCGCCAUUUAAAGUGGUACGCGAGCUGGGUUUAGAACGUCGUGAGACAGUUCGGUCCCUAUCUGCCGUGGGCGCUGGAGAACUGAGGGGGGCUGCUCCUAGUACGAGAGGACCGGAGUGGACGCAUCACUGGUGUUCGGGUUGUCAUGCCAAUGGCACUGCCCGGUAGCUAAAUGCGGAAGAGAUAAGUGCUGAAAGCAUCUAAGCACGAAACUUGCCCCGAGAUGAGUUCUCCCUGAGACUUAAAGUCUCCUGAAGGAACGUUGAAGACGACGACGUUGAUAGGCCGGGUGUGUAAGCG